GACGAACGCUGGCGGCGUGCUUAACACAUGCAAGUCGAGCGAUGAAGCUCCUUCGGGAGUGGAUUAGCGGCGGACGGGUGAGUAACACGUGGGUAACCUGCCUCAUAGAGGGGAAUAGCCUUCCGAAAGGAAGAUUAAUACCGCAUAAGAUUGUAGCUUCGCAUGAAGCAGCAAUUAAAGGAGUAAUCCGCUAUGAGAUGGACCCGCGUCGCAUUAGCUAGUUGGUGAGGUAACGGCUCACCAAGGCGACGAUGCGUAGCCGACCGGAGAGGGUGAUCGGCCACAUUGGGACUGAGACACGGCCCAGACUCCUACGGGAGGCAGCAGUGGGGAAUAUUGCACCAUGGGGGAAACCCUGAUGCAGCAACGCCGCGUGAGUGAUGACGGUCUUCGGAUUGUAAAACUCUGUCUUCAGGGACGAUAAUGACGGUACCUGAGGAGGAAGCCACGGCUAACUACGUGCCAGCCGCCGCAGUAAGAC
rnacentral:rRNA from 1 species